ACGACCGUACCGCAAACCGACACUGGUGCGCGAGAUGAGUAUUCUAAGGCGCUUGAGAGAACUCGGGAGAAGGAACUCGGCAAAUUGACACCGUAACUUCGGAAGAAGGUGUGCCUUUAGUAGGUGAAGGGAUUUACUCCUGGAGCCCAAUGAGGUUGCAAAAAAUCGGUGGCUGCGACUGUUUAUUAAAAACACAGCACUCUGCAAACACGAAAGUGGACGUAUAGGGUGUGACGCCUGCCCGGUGCUGGAAGAUUAAAUGAUGGGGUGCAAGCUCUUGAUUGAAGUCCCAGUAAACGGCGGCCGUAACGAUAACGGUCCUAAGGUAGCGAAAUUCCUUGUCGGGUAAGUUCCGACCUGCACGAAUGGCGUAACGAUGGCCACACUGUCUCCUCCCGAGACUCAGCGAAGUUGAAAUGUUUGUGAUGAUGCAAUCUCCCCGCGGAAAGACGGAAAGACCCCAUGAACCUUUACUGUAGCUUUGUAUUGGACUUUGAACAGAUCUGUGUAGGAUAGGUGGGAGGCUUUGAAGCAGGGUCGCUAGAUCUUGUGGAGCCAACGUUGAAAUACCACCCUGGUGCGUUUGAGGUUCUAACCUAGGUCCAUUAUCUGGAUCGGGGACAGUGCAUGGUAGGCAGUUUGACUGGGGCGGUCUCCUCCCAAAGCGUAACGGAGGAGUUCGAAGGUACGCUAGGUACGGUCGGACAUCGUGCUAAUAGUGCAAUGGCAUAAGCGUGCUUAACUGCGAGACUGACAAGUCGAGCAGAUGCGAAAGCAGGACAUAGUGAUCCGGUGGUUCUGUAUGGAAGGGCCAUCGCCCAACGGAUAAAAGGUACUCUGGGGAUAACAGGCUGAUACCGCCCAAGAGUUCAUAUCGACGGCGGUGUUUGGCACCUCGAUGUCGGCUCAUCUCAUCCUGGGGCUGUAGCCGGUCCCAAGGGUAUGGCUGUUCGCCAUUUAAAGAGGUACGUGAGCUGGGUUUAAAACGUCGUGAGACAGUUUGGUCCCUAUCUUCCGUGGGCGCUGCAGAUUUGAGGAAGCCUGCUCCUAGUACGAGAGGACCGGAGUGGACGCACCUCUGGUGUAUCGGUUGUCACGCCAGUGGCAUUGCCGAGUAGCUAUGUGCGGAAGAGAUAACCGCUGAAAGCAUCUAAGCGGGAAACUCGUUUCAAGAUGAGAUCUGCCGGGGCCUUGAGCCCCCUAAAGAGUCGUUCAAGACCAGGACGUUGAUAGGUCAGGUGUGGAAGCGCAGUAAUGCGUUAAGCUAACUGAUACUAAUUGCUCGUGCGGCUUGACCCA
rnacentral:rRNA from 1 species